CUAAUGUCAGAACCAACAGGUUACCAUCUGGGAUCAGAACCAACAGGUUACCAUCUGAGAUCAGAACCAACAGGUUACCACCAUCUGAGAUCAGAACCAACAGGUUACCACCAUCUGAGAUCAGAACCAACAGGUUACCACCAUCUGAGAUCAGAACCAACAGGUUACCACCAUCUGAGAUCAGAACCAACAGGUUACCACCAUCUGAGAUCAGAACCAACAGGUUACCACCAUCUGAGAUCAGAACCAACAGGUUACCACCAUCUGAGAUCAGAACCAACAGGUUACCACCAUCUGAGAUCAGAACCAACAGGUUACCACCAUCUGAGAUCAGAACCAACAGGUUACCAUCUGAGAUCAGAA